CCUACGGGUGGCAGCAGUGGGGAAUAUUGCACAAUGGGCGAAAGCCUGACGCAGCGACGCCGCGUGAGUGAUGAAGGACCUCGGUAUGUAAAGCUCUAUUAGCAGGGAAGAAAAAGUCGGUACUUGACUAAGAACCCCCGGCCAACUACGAGCCAGCAGCCGCCGUAAUACGUAGGGGGCAAGCGUUAUCCGGAUUUACUGGGUGUAAAGGGAGCGUAGACGGCGCUGCAAGUAGGAUGUGAAAGCCCAUGGCUUAACCGUGGUGCGGCACUGGAAACUGUGGAGCUUGAGUGCGGGAGAGGCAGGCGGAAUUCCUAGUGUAGCGGUGAAAUGCGUAGAUAUUAGGAGGAACACCAGCGGCGAAGGCGGCCUGCUGGACCGUAACUGACGCUGAGGCUCGAAAGCGUGGGGAGCAAACAGGAUUAGAUACCCGGGUAGUC
rnacentral:rRNA from 1 species